CUUGGAUAACCGUGGUAAUUCUAGAGCUAAUACAUGCUAAAAACCCCGACUUCGGGAGGGGUGUAUUUAUUAGAUAAAAAACCAAUGCCCCUCGGGGCUCCUUGGUGAUUCAUGAUAACUUAACGAAUCGCAUGGCCUUGCGCCGGCGAUGGUUCAUUCAAAUUUCUGCCCUAUCAACUUUCGAUGGUAGGAUAGUGGCCUACCAUGGUGUCAACGGGUAACGGGGAAUUAGGGUUCUAUUCCGGAGAGGGAGCCUGAGAAACGGCUACCACAUCCAAGGAAGGCAGCAGGCGCGCAAAUUACCCAAUCCCGACGCGGGGAGGUAGUGACAAUAAAUACUGAUACAGGGCUCUUUUGGGUCUUGUAAUUGGAAUGAGUACAAUUUAAAUCCCUUAACGAGGAACAAUUGGAGGGCAAGUCUGGUGCCAGCAGCCGCGGUAAUUCCAGCUCCAAUAGCGUAUAUUAAAGUUGUUGCAGUUAAAAAGCUCGUAGUUGAACCUUGGGCCUGGCUGGCCGGUCCGCCUCACCGUGUGCACUGGUCCGGCCGGGCCUUUCCUUCUGGGGAGCCGCAUGCCCUUCGCUGGGCGUGCCGGGGAACCAGGACUUUUACUUUGAAAAAAUUAGAGUGUUCAAAGCAGGCCUUUGCUCGAAUACAUUAGCAUGGAAUAAUGGAAUAGGACGUGUGGUUCUAUUUUGUUGGUUUCUAGGACCGCCG
rnacentral:rRNA from 1 species